rnacentral:rRNA from 1 species
AGAGUUUGAUCAGUGGCUCAGGACGAACGCUGGCGGCGUGCUUAACACAUGCAAGUCGAACGGAAAGGCCCUGCUUUUGUGGGGUGCUCGAGUGGCGAACGGGUGAGUAACACGUGAGUAACCUGCCCUUGACUUUGGGAUAACUUCAGGAAACUGGGGCUAAUACCGGAUAGGAGCUCCUGCUGCAUGCUGGGGGUUGGAAAGUUUCGGCGGUUGGGGAUGGACUCGCGGCUUAUCAGCUUGUUGGUGGGGUAGUGGCUUACCAAGGCUUUGACGGGUAGCCGGCCUGAGAGGGUGACCGGCCACAUUGGGACUGAGAUACGGCCCAGACUCCUACGGGAGGCAGCAGUGGGGAAUAUUGCACAAUGGGCGGAAGCCUGAUGCAGCAACGCCGCGUGCGGGAUGACGGCCUUCGGGUUGUAAACCGCUUUCGCCUGUGACGAAGCGUGAGUGACGGUAAUGGGUAAAGAAGCACCGGCUAACUACGUG